rnacentral:lncRNA from 1 species
AGUAACUGUGCAACAUCAUAGGUAAUAAUUAGUCACACACGCGCUGCUUAGAGGGUGAAGGAAAGUUCACUCUGAGUAUCGGCAGCCACAUACAUUUUUUUGGAGUCACUUUAAACAAUAAUUUGCUUUAGAAACUUAUAGCCCAUAUCACCUUUAUUGCCGACCUAUAAAAAACAAGGCAUCAGGAAAUCAGAGUCUAGCCCUAGGCCUGCAUCUCCCUGGAUGGGUGGUCCCAGUUAAGCUCCCUUACUGCAAAAGCCCUGUGCCCUCAUCUAUAAAGCGGAAUUGAACAGAAUGUUCUCUGGUCUGAUUCUAAGUAGAGUUUGCUUAGUGCAGACCUGGUUGUUAGAACAACCAGCUUCUAAAAAAGAGGUAUCAAUUCAAAGGUACAGAAAGCAAUCAAAAGGGGAAAACAUCACUUAGGCCAAUGACGCAUGGACACUGUCACUUCUUAAUUACGGUACCAUCUUCCUCUUUUCCCGUCCCUUCGACCUUUCCUUCUCCUUUGUUCGGUCUCCUCCUCUGUCUUCUGCCUCCCUUCCCUUCUUUAUGCCAUGUCCUCAUCUAUCUCCCUUUUUGCAUUUCUUCUCCUCAUCUUCUUCCCUGUUUAAUUUUUCUGUCACUCACCCAGUUAUCUUCUUUAUGUAAUUCUUUUGCAUCGCCUUCCUCUGUGACACUGGCACUUUGCAGUAAUUCACUUGGCACGUAUUUGCUGGGCAGCUCCUAUGUGUCCAAUACUUUCCUGCACUAGAGAAAUGGAAUGAACAAGAUAACCAAGGUCCUUGGCUCAUCUGGAAUUUACACCCCAGUGUCAAGAAGUGAGAAGCAAAUUAAGUGAACAAAAAAAUAAUCACAGGGAGCAAAGGUACUGAAAAGAAAAGAAAACAGAUGUGAAACACAGUGACCUGUCCAGAGGUGGUCAAGGGUGGCCUCUCAGAAGUGGUAGCAUUUCAGGCAAGGCUGGAUGCUAAGACAUGAAUAGGAAGCAAGAACCAGCCUGGGAAGGUCUGUAGGACACUCAGGGCAGAAGAAGGGCUUGGGAGAGAAACAGCGUGAUUUUUUUUUUGUGUGUGUGUGUGUGAUGUUUAAAGAAAA